GCCAGGCGUGGUGGCAUGCGCCUGUAGUCCCAGCUACUUGGGAGGCUGAGGCAGGAGAAUUGCUUGAACCCAGGAGGCGGAGGUUGUAGUGAGCCGAGAUGGCGCCACUGCACUCCAGCCUGGGUGACAGAGCAAGACUCUGUCUCAA
rnacentral:SRP_RNA from 2 species